CUUGAAUUGUAUCUCCCAGAAUUCCCAUGUGUUGUGGGAGGGACCCAGGGGGAGGUAAUUCAAUCAUGGGUGCUGGUCUUUCCUGUGCUAUUCUCAUGAUAGUAAAUAAGUCCCAUGAGAUCUGAUGGGUUUACCAGGGGUUUCCACUUUUUGCUUCUUCCUCAUUUUCUCUUGCUGCCACGAUGUAAGAAGUGCCUUUUGCCUCCUACCAUGAUUCUGAGGCCUCACCAGCCAUGUGGAACUGUAAGUCCAAUUAAACCUCCUCUUCUUCCAGGUCUUAGGUAUGUCUUUAUCAGCAGCAUAAAAACAGACUAAUACAUUGUUCUCGUGACAGUGAGUGAGUUCUCAUGUGAUCUGAUUUCAUAAGGGGCUUUCCACCCCCUUUGCUCUCAUUCUUUUCUUUCCUGCCACCAUGUGAAGAAGGACAUGUUUGCUUUCCCUUCCGCCAUGAUUGUAAGUUUCUUGAGGCCUCCCCAGCACUGCAGAACUGUGAGUCAAUUAAACCUCUUUCCUUUAUAAAUUACCCAGUCUCAGGUAUUUCUUCGUAACAGUGUGAUAACGAACUAAUACAGACAGCAUAACAUCAUUGUGUGGAUACACAUUAGCAAGCUUGAAGACUACAGGAAAUAAAACUGGAAAGAAGAACGGUCAUGAGGGAUACAUGUGCACAGAGAAAAGGCCGUGUGAAGACAAAAUGAAAAAGUGGCUGUCUACAAGUCAAGGAGAGAGGCCUCGGGAGAAGCUAAACCUGCUGACACUCUGACCUUGGAUUCCUAGACUCCAGAACUGUGAGAAAAUAAAUUUCUGUUGUUUAAGCCACAUGGUCUGUGUAUUAGAUUAUGGCAGUUCUAGCAGACUAAUAUACAGUUGCUCCUUGAACACAUGGGUUUGAACUGUAAGGGUCUGCUUGUGGAUUUUUUUUUUCAAUAAAAGUUACAUUGAGGGUGCCUAUAUUUCCUGCCUCUCUUUCCAUCUCCUCUACCUCUUCCACCUCUGCCAGGUCUGAGACAGCAAGACCAACCUCUCUUCUCCCUCCUCCUCAACCCACUCAAGGUAAAGAUGACUCAGAUGAAGACCUUUAUAAUGAUCCACUUCCACCUAAUGAAUAGUAUAUACAUUUUCUCUUCCUUAUCAUUUUCUUAAUGACAUUUUUGUUUCUCUAGCUUACUAUAUUGUAAGAAAGCAGUAUACAAUACAUAUAACAUACAAAAUAUGUGUUAAUCAACUACCUAUAUUAUCAUAAAGGAAGGCUAUUAGUAGUUAAGUUUUGGGGGGGUUAUCUGUGGAUUUUUUUACUGAAUAGGCAGUGGUCCUAACCCCCAUGUUGUUCAAGGAUUAACUGUAUCAGAUUAGGUGUUAAGUUCCUAAACUAGAGUCAAGGGAACCUUUUUCUAUUGAGGCUGACUGUGACAAGAAUGGAGUAUGCAGAUUCACCUAAAAAUGUUGGUGAAUAUUUUUAUAUUUGUAUUAGCAUUAGAAAUGGGACUUACAGUUUGUGAACUUUCAACAAGAUCCACAUAGAACUUAACUCCCCCAAAACUUAACUACUAAUGGCUUCUGUCGACUGGAAGCCUUGCUGAUAACACAGACAGUUAACACAGAUUUUGUAUGUUAUAUGUAUCAUAUGCUGCAUUUCUAGGGAGCGUUUGAAGCAUAAAAAGACUUCCUCUGGGGAUAAUGUGCCUAAUGACUUAACCAAAACUUGGAGAUAAGCUUGAUUCUGUCAUCUUACUGUCUAAAAUCUGCUUCCAACUCACUGUGGAAAGAUAGCUAUGGCCAGACUCAGUAGCAAUGAAUGGCUGAAUUUACUAGUUCAAUUACAAAUUGCAAGUUUCAGUUCUAAUACUAAUACAUACUUUCCACAAUAUCUUCAAGAUCUUAUUUGGCGGUCCCUCCUAGCUUCCUUAUUUUCCUCAUGUAACAAUCAGACUGACUUCAAAAAACACAUGAUAGGCUGAGAAAAAAGAGAAGUCCAAACACCUAGGUGAGAGUGCCAGACACUUAACCAGAAAUUAAAUAGGUUCUGAGUGGUAACUCUUUCAAGUAGAAUAAGCAUUAGAAAAUUUUAACAAUAGCUUUGGUAAGGCAUUAACAAGUGUUGGAAUGCUGGACGGGGAAUAGCAUUUGAAGUUUUUAAACUUAACCCUGACUCAUUUCCUUUAGUUAACUUCAACAUAGUUACCUCUGGCCUAUUCUGAGCAAAGAUGCCGACAAACUGGUCUGGUGAUGAUUUAUAACCUUUAUGCAAGAGACAGGAACCCAGGUACUCUGCUCUAUCAGACACCUACAAAAAAGAGAGAUGGGGUGAGAGAGAGAGAGAAGAGGUCAAGACCAAAAACUGACCAAUAUCGUAUCCUGUAGUUCAGAAUACUAUGUUAGAAAGAAUCUGUCUAAAAACAUGGACUCAACUUACCUGUUUGUAAGAUAGCCAUCUGUAGGGCUGGUUUGGUUUUCUAUAUCCCAAGCAGGGCCCAUUGUCUAAAAACAUAAUAUUAAAAGAAAAUCAACUCCAGUUGCAAAUUCUCUGGACCAAGGAAGCUAAAAGGAGAUUAAGAAGGGGCAAGACACAAAGGGUAAGUCCAACAAGGAUUUGAGCUUCUAUUAUAUGUCCAGGAAAUUCAAAGUCAGAAAGCACUGAGUCCUCAAAAAUGAAGAGUCCUAUAAACUAUAGUUGAAACAUUUAGGAAAUGCUACACAAAACAGGAGUGGUUCAGUGUUGAAUAUGUAACCUCCAUGAUAAUGUAGACAUUCAGAGAAAGCCAUCCAUAUGGGGUUAGCCCACAAAACAUGACCAAGUGAAAGCCUACAAGUAAACACAAACAGCCUGUAUUGAACAAUCUUGGAUUGAACUUCCCUACAAUAAAAACUAUGCUCAUAAAGAUAUAAAAAAGUUAAAAUAUGAAUCAUCAAUCUCAUCACCCAAAUACCAUUAUUAACACUGAUAUAUUAUCCCAUGGCCCUUUUGCAUAGUUUGACAGUUAUGUUCAUUCCCCAUGUAUAGAAUGAAUAUAAUACUUUGAUACCUUGCUUCCUCUCCCAAUCUGACCUAAGUAUU
rnacentral:lncRNA from 1 species